GCCAGGCGUGGUGGCUCACGCCUGUAGUCCCAGCUACUCAGUAGGCUGAAGCAGGAGGAUCGCUUGAGCCCAGGAGUUCAAGGCUGCAAUGAGCUAUGAUUGCACCACUGCACUCUAGCCUGGGCAACAGAGUAAGACCUUGUUUCUU
ensembl:misc_RNA Metazoa_SRP Metazoan signal recognition particle RNA